rnacentral:lncRNA from 1 species
ACAAAACCCAGGCAAUCAGGAGUAAAAAACCCAAAAUUUGGAAUAUUCUGCCAUCAAAGCGUUCAUAUUUUAUCUUGCCAAUGAGAAGGAAUGUGGACAUCAAUACCGGAAACAUAGGCUGGAAUUAACAGGAAGAAAGAAAGAAGCUUGUCUCCUUCAUCUGAACUCAUAGAGGAAAAAGAUUUGAAAUCGUACAAGAAGUUUAGUGGCCAAUUUAUCCUGCCUUGAUGUCAGCUCUAGCAAGAAGACCAAACCUUUAGGGUUUUCAGAGGAACAGAUAUGAAAUUCCACAUGUAUAGGAAACUCCUGAUGAGAAAUCUCCUAUCAAUGCAGAUGAUCCACACUUUAUGGUAUUAAAGAUCUGUCUGGGACACUGAGAACUUAAGUGACUUAUGUGGAGUCAAGGAGUCAACAUGUGUUAGAGGAGAGAGCUGAACCUAUAUCUUCUGUAUUUUCUCUUUUUAUAUUAUAAACAUGAAAAACUAAAAGAUUUUUAACAACAUAUAACUGUAUACAUAAUGGUUUUUUUGCAUGUUUAAGAUUUGAUUGUGUG